rnacentral:rRNA from 1 species
CAAUAGCGUAUAUUAAAGUUGUUGCGGUUAAAAGCUCGUAGUUGGAUUUCUGCAUGGAAGGAGCGGUCCACCCUUUGGGUGAGUUACUGCUACCUUUUGUGCAUCUUUCUGAGAAGGCGUUCUUCACUUGAUUGUGAGGCCGCAUGACUCAGAACAUUUACUUUGAGGAAAUGAGAGUGUUUCAAGCAGGCAAAUGCCUUGAAUACGUUAGCAUGGAAUAAUAGCAUCGGACCAUCGUCCAGCUGUUGGUGUCUGGGCGAAGGUAAAGGUGAAUAGGGAUUGUUGGGGGCAUUCGUAUUUAACUGUCAGAGGUGAAAUUCUUGGAUUUGUUGAAGACGGACUACUGCGAAAGCAUCUGCCAAAGAUGUUCUCAUUGAUCAAGAACGAAAGUUAGGUGAUCGAAGACGAUCAGAUACCAU